UGCAAGCGGUGCUUGCGUGCAAUCGUGCAAGCACCGCGUCUGGGCCUUCGGUUCCUCAUCCGACGAUGCCGUGCCAAUUUGCAAAAUAAACCCCGCACCAGCCGCUGCGUUUUUUCACAAAACACCCCUGCGGCCAAUUGACCUACAUGCAAGACGUUUGGUUUCUUCUUGCCCACGAUCGUUCUAGCCGCCGCCGCCUUGUCUUGCUGCAAUUCCUCCUAGAUCGAUCGGAUCCUUUGUGUGUUCCUGCGGUGUUCUGGUCCCAUGCAGGACGCCGUCCAGACCUCAUGCGAUGAGGUCCUGCCCGACGCCGUCCAAGUGCCGCAGCCUCCCGACGUCGUCCAAGUGCCCGACGUGGAGGAGCCAGAUGUCCAGGAGCUAGACCACGAUGAUGACUUGUCUUUCAUGGCAAACGACAUUCAACCAAUGUACGAUGACAACGGCCCACUACUAUCCUGCACCAUGACAUCAUCUCAAUAGAGCAAGUAGACGACAUGGGGCUCCUUAAUGCCGGUUUCGAUAUUGGUUCUUCACCUGUUCGUCAGGAAGUUGUCGUGGAGCAAGGUAAUGAUGUAGCCAUUGAUAUGAAUGAUCCAGUGAUCACGACACCAACAAAGAAAAAAAAUUGUUCUUAAGAAAGGGAUGUUAUUUGACAAUGUCGAAUCUGCUAAGAAAUUUUACAAGGAUUAUGCACAUGAUUUAGGUGCUGCUUUCUUAGCUGAUGAGAAGAUUGAAAGCUAUAUCUGGUUAU